GUUGGGUAGGGGAGCGUUCUGUAAGCCUGCGAAGGUGUGCUGUGAGGCAUGCUGGAGGUAUCAGAAGUGCGAAUGCUGACAUAAGUAACGAUAAAGCGGGUGAAAAGCCCGCUCGCCGGAAGACCAAGGGUUCCUGUCCAACGUUAAUCGGGGCAGGGUGAGUCGACCCCUAAGGCGAGGCCGAAAGGCGUAGUCGAUGGGAAACAGGUUAAUAUUCCUGUACUUGGUGUUACUGCGAAGGGGGGACGGAGAAGGCUAUGUUAGCCGGGCGACGGUUGUCCCGGUUUAAGCAUGUAGGCUGGUUAUCCAGGCAAAUCCGGAUAAUCAAGGCUGAGGUGUGAUGACGAGGCACUACGGUGCUGAAGUAACAAAUGCCCUGCUUCCAGGAAAAGCCUCUAAGCAUCAGGUAACAUCAAAUCGUACCCCAAACCGACACAGGUGGUCAGGUAGAGAAUACCAAGGCGCUUGAGAGAACUCGGGUGAAGGAACUAGGCAAAAUGGUGCCGUAACUUCGGGAGAAGGCACGCUGGUGUGUAGGUGAAGUCCCUGCGGAUGGAGCUGAGACCAGUCGAAGAUACCAGCUGGCUGCAACUGUUUAUUAAAAACACAGCACUGUGCAAACACGAAAGUGGACGUAUACGGUGUGACGCCUGCCCGGUGCCGGAAGGUUAAUUGAUGGGGUUAUCCGUAAGGAGAAGCUCUUGAUCGAAGCCCCGGUAAACGGCGGCCGUAACUAUAACGGUCCUAAGGUAGCGAAAUUCCUUGUCGGGUAAGUUCCGACCUGCACGAAUGGCGUAAUGAUGGCCAGGCUGUCUCCACCCGAGACUCAGUGAAAUUGAACUCGCUGUGAAGAUGCAGUGUACCCGCGGCAAGACGGAAAGACCCCGUGAACCUUUACUAUAGCUUGACACUGAACAUUGAGCCUUGAUGUGUAGGAUAGGUGGGAGGCUUUGAAGCGUGGACGCCAGUCUGCGUGGAGCCAACCUUGAAAUACCACCCUUUAAUGUUUGAUGUUCUAACGUUGGCCCCUGACCGGGGUUGCGGACAGUGUCUGGUGGGUAGUUUGACUGGGGCGGUCUCCUCCCAAAGCGUAACGGAGGAGCACGAAGGUUAGCUAAUCCUGGUCGGACAUCAGGAGGUUAGUGCAAUGGCAUAAGCUAGCUUGACUGCGAGCGUGACGGCGCGAGCAGGUGCGAAAGCAGGUCAUAGUGAUCCGGUGGUUCUGAAUGGAAGGGCCAUCGCUCAACGGAUAAAAGGUACUCCGGGGAUAACAGGCUGAUACCGCCCAAGAGUUCAUAUCGACGGCGGUGUUUGGCACCUCGAUGUCGGCUCAUCACAUCCUGGGGCUGAAGUAGGUCCCAAGGGUAUGGCUGUUCGCCAUUUAAAGUGGUACGCGAGCUGGGUUUAGAACGUCGUGAGACAGUUCGGUCCCUAUCUGCCGUGGGCGCUGGAGAAUUGAGGGGGGCUGCUCCUAGUACGAGAGGACCGGAGUGGACGCAUCACUGGUGUUCGGGUUGUCAUGCCAAUGGCACUGCCCGGUAGCUAAAUGCGGAAGAGAUAAGUGCUGAAAGCAUCUAAGCACGAAACUUGCCCCGAGAUGAGUUCUCCCUGAGACUUUAAGUCUCCUGAAGGAACGUUGAAGACGACGACGUUGAUAGGCCGGGUGUGUAAGCGCAGCGAUGCGUUGAGCUAACCGGUACUAAUGAACCGUGAGGCUUAACCUU
rnacentral:rRNA from 1 species